rnacentral:rRNA from 1 species
GAAUUUUGGACAAUGGGCGAAAGCCUGAUCCAGCAAUGCCGCGUGCAGGAUGAAGGCCUUCGGGUUGUAACCUGCUUUUGUCCGGAAAGAAAAGCUUUGGGUUAAUACCCUGGAGUCAUGACGGUACCGUAACACUAAUCACCGGCUAACUAAGUGCGCGCGCCCGCGGUAAUACGUAGGGUGCAAGCGUUAAUCUGAAUUACUGGGCGUAAAGCGUGCGCAGGCGGUUUUGUAAGACAGAGGUGAAAUCCCCGGGCUCAACCUGGGAACUGCCUUUGUGACUGCAAGGCUAGAGUACGGGAGAGGGGGGUGGAAUUCCGCGUGUAGCAGUGAAAUGCGUAGAUAUGCGGAGGAACACCGAUGGCGAAGGCAACCCCCUGGGCCUGUACUGACGCUCAUGCACGAAAGCGUGGGGAGCAAACAG